rnacentral:rRNA from 1 species
UUAGCUCUCGUACGUGACCUGCGGAGGGACAUUACACAAAUAUGAAGGCGGGCUGGAACCUCUCGGGGUUACAGCCUUGCUGAAUUAUUCACCCUUGUCUUUUGCGUACUUCUUGUUUCCUUGGUGGGUUCGCCCACCACUAGGACAAACAUAAACCUUUUGUAAUUGCAAUCAGCGUCAGUAACAAAUUAAUAAUUACAACUUUCAACAACGGAUCUCUUGGUUCUGGCAUCGAUGAAGAACGCAGCGAAAUGCGAUAAGUAGUGUGAAUUGCAGAAUUCAGUGAAUCAUCGAAUCUUUGAACGCACAUUGCGCCCUUUGGUAUUCCAAAGGGCAUGCCUGUUCGAGCGUCAUUUGUACCCUCAAGCUUUGCUUGGUGUUGGGCGUCUUGUCUCUAGCUUUGCUGGAGACUCGCCUUAAAGUAAUUGGCAGCCGGCCUACUGGUUUCGGAGCGCAGCACAAGUCGCACUCUCUAUCAGCAAAGGUCUAGCAUCCAUUAAGCCUUUUUUUCAACUUUUGACCUCGGAUCAGGUAGGGAUACCCGCUGAACUUAA